UAAACUAGGAUUAGAUACCCUAUUAUUUAAUAACGUAAAAAAUUUACUAUAGUAGUAGUAGUUAUGGUCUUAAAAUUAAAAAAAUUUGGCGGUAUUUUAGUCUUUUCAGAGGAAUUUGUUCUGUAAUCGAUAAUCCACGAUGGACCUAACUUAAUCUUGUAUUUCAGUUUGUAUAUCGCUGUUAUAGAAUAUUUUAUAAGAAAAAUAAUUUUCAAUAAAUUUUAUAAAAUUUUAUAUCAAGUCAAGGUGCAGUUUAUGAUUAAGGAUGAAAUGAAUUACAAUAAAUAAAUUUAAACGGAGUAAUAAUUGCAAUAUUAUUAUGAAGGUGGAUUUGAAAGUAAAUUAUUAAAGAUAAAAUAAUUGAUUAUAGCUCUAAAAUAUGUACACAUCGCC
rnacentral:rRNA from 1 species